AAGCCACAAAAGAAGGGUCUGACGUGACUCGCAUGGUUAGCUAACUAAUGACGCAAAAUGUUGUACUUAAAUCGAAUGGAGAAUACUCAGCCCAUAUGGUUAACUUAAUGUAGUUCAUCAAAUAUCCCGUUAUUAUGUAGGUCAAUGGAAAUGAUAAGAGUGCAAUGGACAUCGCCUUUGGAAAGAAUGGAACCGCAACUAUCAUUGGGGUACCAGUGAACACCCUGCUGCUUUCCUUCAAUUGUUUAGUUUUGGCCUUCACCUUUAUCGUAGGGGUUCCGGGGAAUUUACUGGUGGGUUUGGUUGUGUACAGGAAGAAAACUUUACAGACCGCUAAUAACGCGCUUCUGGUUAAUCUUGCCACCAAUGACUUGCUGAAAUGCCUUCUGGAUACUCCUGUGUUUUUCCUCUCCCUUCUUUGGGGCGAAAGGCAUUUGGACGUGGGCGAGCGGCUGUGCUGCCUUCAGCAGUUCACAUAUUCCCUCAGCAGCUGCGUUCAGAUACUGACCCUCGUCAUAAUAAGCGUGGAGAGGUUUCAAGCCAUCGCCUUUCCCUUCGAGACGGAAAAGAGGAAAGCACGAAUUAAAGUUUGGAUGCUGCUCAUCUGGGCUUUCGGACUGAGUUUAGCCAUUCUCUCGGUGACUCUGUCCAAAGAAGCUCUGUUUUACAUGAUGUGCCGACACAUACGGGUGGAAUGCAGAGUCCACUCUGACCCAUUCGGAACUUACGUAUUGAUUCCCGUUUGGGGCUCCUCCCUAGCUUUGAUCAUUGUCCAUUACCUGCGGAUUUUUGCGGUCGUGAGGCAGCACACGAAUAAAAUUUUCGACAACGGGAUACAAUUCCGAUCCUCUGUAGCUAGACAUGUUUCGGACUGGCCAACGGUCACACUUUCAGCACCUGGGACACGUGAAAUACAGCCCACGACGAGCGCGAGCGAGAUCACCGAAAACCCCGACCACACCGGUGGCUCAGUGAAUGCUGCCUCCCGUACCGUCUCCGGCGACCGCAAACAAUCGAUCAGCAGUGCAAAUAAACCGCCUGAAAUUGUUGGAGCCAUAUGCAUCUUAACCCCCAUAGCCAGGGAACUCGGCAAGAAGAGACUGGAGGGGAAACUGGCAAAGCGUUUUGGCUAUAUCAUUAUCGCGUUCAUCCUCUUCUGGGUCCCUAUGGUUGUUAUCCUGCUGCUGAAUGUCAUCAUGGAGAACGAUGCGAACACCGCCUGCAGUCGGGUCUUGCUAGAGCUGGAGACCUGUGCCAUGGUGGUCACCUGCAUUCCUGCAGCCCUGAACCCACUCCUCUACACGGCUGUGAACCAUCAGUUUCGCACGGAGUUCAGCAAAGUCCUGUCCACAGCCUGGACCUGCAGGCACAGCCCGAAGAGCUGAGGACCAAUCAGAGGACCCAACACAUCUAACAAAGAGGACCCAACACAUCUAACACAGAGGACCCAACACAUCUAACACAGAGGACCACACAGGACCCAGCACAUCUAACACAGAGGACCACACAGGACCCAACACAUCUAACACAGAGGACCCAGCACAUCUAACACAGAGGAUCACACAUGACCCAGCACAUCUAACACACAGGACCCAACACAUCUAACACAGAGGACCCAACACAUCUAACACAGAGGACCACACAGGACCCAGCACAUCUAACACACAGGACCCAACACAUCUAACA